rnacentral:lncRNA from 1 species
CCCCCCAUCGCAUAUUUGGGGGGUCGCAUAUUUAUGGGGCUUAGCCGGAUUCGGGUCGGAUCCAGCUUAACCCGAACCAUUUACCCAAGUAAAAAUUAAAAAAUUGAAAUGAUUAAAUGAAUAAUAUUAUUUUAUAACAACUUAAGGACCCAUUUUAUAAUAAUAUUAUUCAAACAACUUAAAUGAAUAAUAUUAAUUGACGACACACUUAGUUAAAAGUUAGAACUUAGAACUAAAUGUUUGAAUUACACUUUUACUUUGAUGUUUGAAACUAAUACUUUUGUUGUUUUGAAUGUUUCUUUAAGUUUUUCAGAUUUUAAGAGUUUAAGUAUCAUUAAUCACUAUAUUAUUUUAAUUAUGAUUUUUAUUAUGACUU